AGCCCGCUUGGAACUCCCGCAGUGCACAGACACGGAUCUCUGGGUUCCUGGCUAUUAACUGCAUGCACGGCCCCCUGGCCAGACCCGAGGUUCCAAAGACUGGGCAAGGAAGCUCCUAGCGCGGCACGAAGUUGUGCCCGUUACCCCUCUGGGCCCCAGGCCGGCGGGCGCAGAAAUUAACUCGGCCAGAAAAUGAGGUUCAGAGAAGUGAAAUGACCCACAAGGUCACAGAUCUAGGAUGGGUCAGACUUUGAUUCCACAAGCUCUGCUUUUUCCACGGUUCCACACAGUUACCAUGGCUUCACACACGCAAAAGCGCCAUCCUGCCACCUUCCUAUCAGGCACAGAUGAGCCCUCCACUGCGUGAAGGUUUCCAGUUUCCUUAGAUCCCUAGAGCAACCUGCCUUGAAGUCUUAGGACAGCAUGCUUUUAUUCAGUGUUUUUGCAGGAACACUUUCUUUGUCCAUAAACAAAGCCUUGAUAACCAAGAGAGUAGCACAGUAUUCUCCAUUGAGCUUUACCAUCCUAAAUUCCUAGGGGAACAUGCCUCAAACAACGUCCCAGACUUCUCCCCACAGAGAUUCUUUUUACCCUGGCGAAGGCCUGGGAUUUUGCAUUACUCAUCCUAGUGGCCCAGGGCUGGGAGAUAUCGAUUUAACAUAUUAAAAGUGGUCAACUGUGAAUGAUGUGCCCUAUAAUUGUGGGUACCCUGAGUACUAUUUUUCCGAAAACACAAACUAAAAGAGCUACCCUAGGUUCUUGGCUUCCUGAUUAUUUGUAAAAGAAUCAAGCUUCAGAGGAAAGGAUCUUCUCAACUUCAUUUUAGCACUUUUUCCAUAAGAAGACGUGGCCUGGGACAUCUGUAGUGCCUUUGGCAGACUCAUGCUUGCCCUUCUCUUGGAGAGGAACGGCUAGACCCUACAGUGACUUUAUGUUUAACCAUUUGAGGAACUCCCAGACUGUCUUCCACAGUGGCUGCACCAUUUUAAAAUCCUACCACCAACAGUUUCAGUUGUCAGGCUGGCUUGGUGUUCGCCUACAGAGGUACCAAACAGUACGACUUUCAUCGUUAGAAGAAAAAGAAACUUGGGGGCGAGCAGCCGCCGCUGUACCCACAAUUCCUGCACCAAGACCACGUCCUGUGAGAAGCAGCUCAGACCCUGUGCAUUCGCAUUACAGUAAGUCACACACUACACACUCGGGAGAGAAGCAAGUGUCACCUACAUCCAAUGUUUAAUAGCCUGAUUUCAAAGCUUGGCCUGCCAUUUAUGUGUGUGACCUUGGGCAGUCGCUCGGAGCCUCCUGUCUAAAGCACGUCAUAACAGUGCCAGCAGCCAGUGGUCUGGUGGCUGUGGGCAGUGCAGUGGUGGACCCCUUAGCAGUAAUUUGAUGCGCUUACACUGACCCCAGGGUUGACCCUGGCAGAGUUCACACGAAACCUUUAACUAAACUUGGUACGUUUUCGCUCCAUUCUAUGGUACCCACCCCGCAGACGGGAACCUGGUUGACAGAGGUAAAUGCACAGCUGGAGGAUGAACUGCCCCCCCACCCAGUGCCAUUGCCAGGAAGGUGGUCUGUGACAGGGCUGGUUAACGUGUCAGUAGAGGCUCUUGGAGGGCACAGUGUGGCUUUCUUCCUUCCAUCCACUCCACUGCGGAGGGCUGGGAGGGCUCAGCAAUGCCGGGGACACUUGGGACUUAGAAGUAGAUUCCAGAUCUGUUUUAAGAUAACACUAAUCAGUGCCCUCCUUUGAUUACUGUUUCAUUUAUCUCGCCAAAAUAAAAUAACCUGGCUAAAGACAUGUAUUUAAGUACCUGCUCCUAUAUAUUAAAUAAUAACAAUGAAAAAACCUACACCUCAAGACGAAAGAGAAAAGGCGUGUUCUGAAAGCGCAGAUUACUCAGGAGAGCAGCAGUACCUGUGAGCUGCUGAGCAUCAGCAGUAAGGAGAUGCAGUCCCAGCAUCUCAGCAGGCUCCCGGCAUCUUCGCUCUCUCUCAGAAGGCUGUACAGGGAAGGACCUGGAGAGUACCACAUGCGCUAGGCGUGCUGGAUUGAGGAGUUUGGAAGAAGAAAGGCAGAAAAUGCCGGAUUCUCCAAGAACAGCAAUUCCGCUGCGUCCAGGGGUCCCGUUGCCCAUCAGGCAUCAGUGAAGGGAAGACCAGCCGGAUGGUGUGUUCUCCUUGCCGAUGUUGUCUGAAAUAGUGGAAAUAAGUGCACCUCUGCUCUCCCCGCAGAAGGAAGGGGAGUGGGGUGGAGCCUCCUGUCCCUGGAAGCAGAGACGCAACCCACGCGACCCCGAGGAAGAAGCCCUCCGGGCCAUGUCUGUGACGUAAAACACGGGAUGUUGUCCCCAGUGCAAACAUGCAAGAAACACACCCCGUGGGGAGCUGUGCUACGGUGAGGUGCACCUGCCACCUCAUCCUGGUGUUCACAGUGUUUGGCGGCUUUCAGCCAAGAUGCCCUUAACUAGGAGCAGCCCUGGAAUCUGGCAUCUCCACGUCCACCCCAGAAGGAUGGCCUUUCUACCAUUCUGUGACAGGCUUUCUCUAAAAUAAGCAUCAAGUAAGCCCCGCCCCAAACCAGCCAUUUUGCCCUAUUCCACCGGCGUGAUAAUGAAUUGGCCCAAACAGACCUUCUCCCAACAAUCCAUUAUCACGCCGGUGGAAGACCUUCUCCUUACUCCCAGAGUAGGUCUGAGGAAUGUUUAAAGGUCCAAGAGACACAGACUGUCUGUCAGAUUUUGGCACAAGUGGUGACAGCGCAGGUCAGUAGGGACGAAAGAGUCACUAAAACUGAGAGAUGACAGGGCUAGAGACACUGUUUAAAACCACCACAGGCAGGGAGGGAGGGAGAGGGGAUGGUGGGUGGGGGCCAAGUCCCCCAAGGAAGCGGGUGGUCAGAGGGCCUGCACCCCACCCCAUAGGAGAUGAUAAUGUGGGGGGCUGUGCAGGGGAAGGCCUGCCAGGAGAAGGGGUGUCGCCCAGAGCCCGCUGAGUGCAGGGCUUUCUCUCUGCUGACUUGCUCUAAGGCAGCCCAGGUAGAGCUAGUCCCGCCCAGGGUACCAAGCACAGCCAGGAAUAAACCAGAAAUCUGGAAGCCUGGCCUACCUCUGCCAGAAAUCUCAUAGCGGGCAACCUGAAAGCUCAGGAACAGUGCUUUCCUUCCAGUUAGUCUGUAAAUGGUGCCCUUUACAAGUGCCCUUUGAUGUGAUCUGUGGACAUUACAAGCGGGUUGAUGUCCUGGCCUUCCCAGCUUUGUUCUCUGCAGCUCACCUGUAUAGGCUCACUGGUUCAGCUCAAACACCCAGGAAGAUGGGCCCUUCUCUCUACUCAAGCCUGUGAAAUCAGGCCUUUAAGUAUAUUUGAAUUUUGAUAUUUAUGACAACAGUAUAAGCUUAUGAUUAUGAGAGGAAAACCAGUGUGAUUGUCACUGAGCAAUUCAGUAAAAUGAUUCUUUUUUUGGCCACAACCACGGCACGCAAAAAUUCUGGGUCUUGGAUCGAACCUUUGCCACAGCAGUGACAACACCCAAUCCUUAACUGCUAGGCCACCAGAGAACUCCCAAUAGAACAACUCCAGAUGUGAAAAGCGUUCCCAACUGACAAGGAGCAGGGCCACUUAGAAAAGGAGAAAAAUGCUCACAGUCCCCAAAUCAGUUCUGUAUAUAGGCUGUGUUUUACUUUUAACAAUAUACCAGGAGUUCCUCCUGUGGUUCAGCAGUAACAAGCCCAACUGGGAUCCAUGAGGACUUGGGUUCAAUCCCUGGCCUCGCUCAGUGGGUUAAGGAUCCAGCGUUGCCGUGAGCUGUGGCAUAGGUCACAGAUGCAGCUCAGAUCCUGCAUUGCUGUGGUUGUGAUGGAGGCUGGCAAGUGCAGCUCCUAUUGGACCCCUAGCCUGGGAACUUCCAUAUGCCGUGGGUGCAGCCUUAAAAAGCAAAAAACAAAACAAAACAAAACAAUACACCAAAAAAUAUUUUCCUGCUUUGGGAAGGUCUUCUUUAAUGAUGCUGAGAAGGAGAAUAAUAUAAUCUACAACUUAAAUUAAGAAGUUAGAGCAAUUAAGCUUCAUCUAGUGAAAGCCAAGCAUGUCUUUGCAAUAAAGAGGUAGCUAAGCACAGGAGAUACUUCGGUGGACAUAAAGGUCUUAACCUAGCUACGUAUCUUAAUUAUUUUUCUGAUGGAUCUAGGAAUUUUUCUUUUAAUAUGCCUGGUUCCUAGUAGAAAUAAAUAAGUUGGCUGGCCUGCAAGAUGGCUUUUUUUAAUCAGAAUGGACAAAGUCUUGUGCUUUGUGCUGUGUGCUUAAACAUAAUGAUAGAUAUUCAAAGUUCAAAUUCUCAGUGGAUCUCUGGACCGAAAGUUUUGUAAGAAAUCAAGGAAGAAGGACCACCACGCGCUAUAUCUAUUUCCUCUUGAAAAACAAUUUCUAGAUAUUGCCAGAGACCAAAGUUGUGAGUCAAAAUGUUUCUGUCGGUUUCCAUGUGGACACGGCCUGGUGCCCAUCACACCACACACGCUACCUGGAACUCAGACCUGGAAACUUGAAGAAUUGUCUGGAUUCCCUGGCAACAGGGCCUCAGGCAUCUCCUAGCCAGUGGGUCCUACGAAAGAGAUAAGCCACUUCAGCAAACUUGUCUCUCUCCAGCACUGGAAUGCAUCCAAAGGAAACACGAAAGACUCUGACAUCAGAAAACACCUGUUGACUUUGGAGCGCCCGUAUCAACAGCAGUAAAACACAGAGCAGAUGUGAGCCUGCUCUGGGGGGGUACGUGGAAUGUCAAGUAUGAAAAAAAUCAAGAGGAAAGGGAUAGGCACUUCCAAAUUCUUCUGCCUCUCUGUAAACAUGCCAUUAAUUAGGUUAAUUUUCUUAAAAUGUGGCCUCAAAAACCAUUCUAAGGUGGUCGCUUCAGGUUUCCAUUCCUAUAAAUCAAAGUCUGGUGAUAGAUGGUUUAAACGAUCAAUAGGUGUAUAAUCUCAACUCUAACUUUGGCCUAAAAUGUUCAUAGUAACUAUCCGUUCCUUUUAAAAAUUUCUUUACAAUUAAUGUAUAGUUGAUUUAAAAUGUUGUGCCGGUUUCUUUGGGAGUUCCCAUUGGGCUCAGCGGUAAUGAAUCUGACUAGUAUCCCUGAGGAUGCAGGUCCCACUCCUGGCCUCAGUCAGUGGGUUAAGGAUCCUAUGUUGCUGUGGCUGUGGCUUUUGCUCCUAUUCAACGCCUAGCCUGGGAACUUCCAUAUGCUCUACCUGCAGCCCUAAAAAACAAAAAAUAAAAACAAAAA
rnacentral:lncRNA from 1 species